AUUGAACGCUGGCGGAAUGCUUUACACAUGCAAGUCGAGCGGCAGCGCGGGGGCGAACCCUGGCGGCGAGCGGCGAACGGGUGAGUAAUACAUCGGAACGUGUCCUUUCGUGGGGGAGUAACCAGUCGAAAGACUGGCUAAUACCGCAUGAGAUCUCACGAUGAAAGCGGGGCCGGCAAGGCCUCGCGCGAUUGGAGCGGCCGAUGUCGGAUUAGCUAGUUGGCGGGG
rnacentral:rRNA from 1 species